UCCCCGCCCCCUCGGCCGCUCCGCUCCUUGGCGUGACUCGGCACUGAGAUCCCCGGGAGGAGACUCCGCUGUCGUCAGCUCCACUGUCCAGGCCUCAGCCUUCCUAAGCCUCUCUCCUUCCUCUCCCGGGUUGUCUUCUCAUUCAGUUUUGAAGCCGGAGGCGUCUCGGCUGCCCUGCCAAGCUCUCUGUGAGGAUGGUGGGAGUGAAGCCGGUYGGGAGCGACCCUGAUUUCCAGCCGGAGCUGAGCGGCGCGGGCUCCAGACUCGCCGUGGUCAAGUUCACCAUGAGAGGAUGUGGACCAUGUUUGAGGAUUGCCCCAGCUUUCAGUUCUAUGAGUAAUAAAUAUCCACAGGCUGUUUUCUUGGAAGUAGAUGUACAUCAGUGUCAGGGAACUGCUGCCACAAACAAUAUAUCAGCAACACCUACGUUUUUGUUUUUUCGAAACAAAGUGAGAAUUGAUCAAUAUCAAGGAGCAGAUGCUGUUGGAUUAGAAGAAAAAAUCAAGCAACACUUAGAAAAUGACCCUGGAAGCAAUGAGGACACAGAUAUUCCAAAAGGCUAUAUGGAUUUAAUGCCUUUUAUUAACAAGGCUGGUUGUGAAUGUCUCAAUGAAAGCGAUGAACAUGGUUUUGACAACUGUUUACGAAAAGACAUGACCUUCUUGGAAUCUGACUGUGAUGAACAGCUACUUAUUACUGUGGCAUUCAAUCAACCUGUUAAACUUUAUUCCAUGAAAUUUCAAGGGCCAGAUAAUGGUCAGGGUCCUAAAUAUGUAAAAAUUUUUAUCAACCUACCCCGAUCUAUGGAUUUUGAAGAGGCAGAAAGAAGUGAACCAACUCAAGCUCUGGAACUGACAGAGGAUGAUAUCAAAGAAGAUGGCAUUGUUCCACUUCGUUAUGUUAAGUUUCAGAAUGUUAACAGUGUAACUAUAUUUGUUCAGUCUAAUCAGGGUGAAGAAGAAACAACAAGAAUUUCGUAUUUUACUUUUAUUGGUACUCCAGUCCAGGCAACAAAUAUGAAUGACUUCAAACGAAGAAUACAUAUUGGCAAGUUGAGAGUUAUCAACCUGUGAAACAGUAUGCAGAUUUGCGUCCUCAACUGUAUCACAUCACCUGAAUUUUUAAUUUUUAAUAUUAGUUGUUUUUGUUUUCUUUUGCUUAAUCUAAUAGCUCAGUGUUUGCAUUUCCCAAAUAAUACAAUGAUCAAUAAUGCUUUCAGUGUUUAUCAGCUUAAAUUCAUUUAUGAUACAGAUAGUAUCAUCUCCCCUUCCUUCUAGUGUUAGUGUCUCUUUAAUCCUAGUUUUCUUACUCUUAUCUACAUUCGUUUAUGACACUAUCUUUUUAAUCAUAUUUCUGGCUUGUUGAGCUUUUCUAACCUUUUUUUUUCAAUCAGAGAAAAUUCCUUCAAAAUAAUAAGACUGCUUUUUUUUUAGACUGACUACAUUAACAGCAUUAUGUGAUUGGGAAUUCAGUGGAAAGAAUUUUAAAAUCUUCUCUUGAAAGACAUUGACCCAGCUAUUUUGUUUUAGAUCAGACAUGUAUUGAUGACCUUUAUGAGUUUUGCUUUGUAUAUAUACUAUGACUUGGAACAGACUCAAUUUAAAAUAUGAAAAUUACAUAUAUAAAUGUAAUAAGGUCUUUUUCUAUACAAACAUAACAUGUAAUAUCUGGCAAGUGGGUUUCUUUAAAGGCAUAUCGUCUGUGAGAAUAUAUUAAUUAAUGAUAAACUCUACAUUUGAGGUAAAUUACUAUUAGAACCUAGAACUCUACCACAGAGAAUUUGUUUUCUAGAAUGGUUGGUAGGCAAGUUUUUUCUUUACAUUUUUAUGAUGCUAAAUUUAUACCAAUCAGGACAUGUUUUAAAACCCACAAUAGAAGAGUUUUCUAAUCACUGACAGACACAAAGUUUAUUCUUUGUUUUGUUAUAGUAUUUUGUAGCAACCAAGAUGUGUGUGUGUGUGUUUGAUUUUUGAAACUGGGAAAAAGUAGUCAUUUUUAAUCUGUUUUCAUUGCAUGUCUCAUAUUGAAGGAAAAGUCUAGAAACCUGUCAUCUUGGGCAUGAAGACAUGAAUUUAGCUACUCUUUUAAUUUUAGAUUAUUUUGUGAUCGACAUUUGAUUUCUAAUUGCCUAAAAAUAGUAUGCCAAAUGUGUUUUACUCAUAUAGCAUCAUCUUUUUUUAUUAACUUCUCUAAACUGUCAACCUUGUUUGAGUAAAUUAUAUUACUUUUUCUUAAAACAGGGUGGGAAACCAAAAAUAGCCUGCAUGUKUUUCAUUUUUAAUUCCUUGUGGCCUGGGGAAGGGGUGUCACAGUUUGCUUCCACAGUGAAAGUACACUGCAUGCACAGAAAUUCAAGAAUAAAAAUUAAUACCAGGUAGUGGGCAAAAAAGGAGAAAGCCACUAAGGUACAAAAGAUACUGGAAGACCUAUUGCAAUCAGAUUUGCAGCUCCUGGAUAAUUGCUUGAUUCUCUCCAGAGACUGUCAAUGUUUCAUUCAUUGCCAUUACCAAUAAAUCAUUGCUUUUGUUGAGAUGGUAUCACUAGUCUUUCUGUUGUAAUCUUGAUACAUGCAAUUGUAAAUAAAAGUCACUACUUUUGCCAAGCUUAAAUUUUGUCAGUCUAUAUAAGUAUUUCUUCUUUCCUUUUAUUUUAAAAUUAGCCAGCUUCUGAUUUUAGAAGAGAUUUAAAUGUUUGGUAGCAUAUUGACUGAAGCCUAAUUUCUCUUUUUAGAGCAUCAAAACUGUUGUAGGGAAUCAAGGAGUACAGGUAUACACAUGCACRUAGAGCACUCAGUUUUGAGAAUGGACUUGGAAUAGCUAACCAUGUUCAAAUGAGUAUUGUCUCCUGUUUUCUUUAAAAGAUAUUUGGGUAUAAACUUUAAAUUUUGAUACUCAUUUUCUGUAGUAAUAAAGGAAUGUUAAAUUCAGACAGCUGGGAAAAAUACAGUACAGUAUUUGAAACAAUAGGAAUUCUUUGUAAACCAGUAAUUAUCCGAACUACUAAAACAUGCAACAUAGGUAUAUAGACAACAUGAUUUAAGGUUGGAAAUGAGUUGGCCAAAACUUUGUGUUUAAAAGAUCUUUAACAAAAGGUUGGUUAAAUAUAGCAUCUGUUAUUUGUUAUUUUUUUAAUCUUAAAAUUGUAAUCUGGAAAAUAGUGAUAAAUUUAAUUUUUAAGUAAGUAUUUUUAAAAUUUAAUGUUAAGAAUACCAAGACAUAAAGUGUGAUUCAGCUAAUGCAUUUGAAGACAGUCUUGUCUAAAAGUAUGGUAGAGAUGCUGUUUGCCCUUGGGAGGCUAACRUUUAUAUAU